rnacentral:misc_RNA from 1 species
UUUUUUUUUUUUUUUUUUUGUUCAUUUUCUGAAAGUAACUAUUGCUGUAUACAUAUUGAGAAAACUAGGAGUGUGAUAUAUAUAUAUAUAGAUAUAUGAAUGCUUAACACAAUUAAUACAGGCCCAAUAUGACUCCUGCAUUUAAACCUCUCACAUUCACAAGAAUUUAUUUCUUAUUUUGACUCAAACAUUUGUUUCUUUCUUACACU